rnacentral:lncRNA from 1 species
GUCAGUCCACUUCUGCCAGGCAAACACAGACAGUUUCUAGUUGCAAGAUAUCCCCCAUGGCAGAGAAAAAAAAAAGUUUCUUCUGGGAUGCAGACAAUCCAGGAAUCAGUGAUAAUCCACUGACCUUUCUAGGAAGUAAGAGCAAAGAACAAACAGGUUAGAUUCUGAGAAGCUGUUUCUAAGUUUGAUGGUUUUUUUUUUCCUAAGCCUGAGGCACUGAGAAGGGUUCAAGCUUGUAUUCUCCAGAUGCAAGGGUGCAAAUAAAGCCCGAUUUCCACUGGCAGCUAUUAUAACCAGGAGAGGAUCCUGCCUUUGGCUAAGGCCAGCGGAAAGGAAGGCAAAUGGAGAGACACAAAGAGCCUGAAUCUUUGAGCCAUCACUCAGUUGCGAUCAAACUGCCUGGAACCCACCCCACCCCGAUCGCCUGCUCGGACAAAAAUAACUGAAGCUCCCAUUGUUCAAACCAGCUUGUGUCAUGGUUUCUGAUGUUUAUAACUAAGACCAAUUCAAACAAUACAAUAUUUUAAAUCUUUAUUAUUUUUUAAGGAAACAAUAGCUUAAGGGUAAAAACUCAUCUCUAAUUGUAAAAAAAAAUUAUCUCUAAUUGUAGGCUUUUGAAGUUAGGGUCGGUCAGUAUUUUUAGAUAGAAUCUUUCAAAACUCAGGAGAGAGACUCAGCUUAUUUCAUGUGUAUGAUGAGGAUGUCUCCUUUAUUCUUUUUCCUGCUAUCACACUUAUGCCAGGCUUUCUUUCAAAACUUAACUCACCCAGCUCCUUGUCUUUGAAGCCUUCUUUUAAUUCUUCUCCCACAUUCCCCAAAACCAAGUCAAUUCUCUCCCUCAGUGCCCUCAUGUGUAUAAAUUGCAUAUCAUAUGGCAUUUUUUUCAUGUCUGUAAGACUCCCAAUUUCCCAAAGGCGAGGUUACUGUCAUUUUCUUCUGUAUCUACAGUGACCAUCACAUGAAAAGUACUCCAUAAAGGUGUUAAGGAUGGAAUUGUGUCCCCAACCCCAAAAUUCAUGUGUUGAAGCCCUCACCCUCGAUGUGACCAUAUUUGGAGAUAGAUAGGGCCUUUAAAGAGGUAAUUAAGUUAAAUGAAGUCAAAAUAGUGGGGCCUAGUAUCAUAUGACCGAUGUCCUUAUAGGAAGAGGAGAGACACCAGGGAUGUGCACACACAGAGGGGAGUCCAUGGGAGGACGGGGCAAGAAGGUGGCUGUCCUCGAGCCAGAGAGAGGCCUCAGAAGAAACCCAACUUGCUGGCACCUUGAUCUUGAACUUUCGGCCUCCAGAACUGUGAGAAAAUAAAUUCCUGUUGUUUAAGCCACCCA